rnacentral:rRNA from 1 species
UACGUAGGGGGCAAGCGUUGUCCGGAUUUAUUGGGCGUAAAGAGCUCGUAGGCGGUCUGUCACGUCUGCCGUGAAAACCCGAGGCUUAACCUCGUGGCUUGCGGUGGAUACGGGCAGACUAGAGGUAGGUAGGGGAGAACGGAAUUCCUGGUGUAGCGGUGAAAUGCGCAGAUAUCAGGAGGAACACCGGUGGCGAAGGCGGAUCUCUGGGCCGAUACUGACGCUGAGGAGCGAAAGCGUGGGGAGCGAACAGG